AAGCUAUAUUAGAGAGGAGGAGAGAGAACCAGUCUAGGAUAGCUACAUUAGAGAGGAGGAGGGAGAAUCAGUCUAGUAUAGCUACAUUAGAGAGGAGGAGGAGAGAGAACCAGUCUAGUGCAGCUACAUUAGAGAGGCGGAGGAGGGAGCACCAGUCUACUACAGCUACAUUAAAGAGGAGGGAGAUCCAGUCUAGUAUAGAUACAUUAGAGAGGAGGAGGGAGAAUCAGUCUAGUAAAGCUACAUUAAAGAGUAGGAGGAGGGGGAACCAGUCUAGUACAGCUACAUUAGAGAGGAGGAGGGAGAACCAUUCUAGUACAGCUACAUUAGAGUGGAGGAGGAGAGAGAACCAGUCUACUACAGCUACAUUAGGGAGGCGGAGGAGGGAGAACCAGUCUAGUACAGCUCCAUUAAAGAGGAGGGAGAUCCAGUCUAGUAUAGAUACAUUAGAGAGGAGGAGGGAGAAUCAGUCUAGUAAAGCUACAUUAAAGAGUAGGAGAAGGGGGGAACCAUCAUGUAAAGCUAUAUUAGAGAGGAGGAGAGAGAACCAGUCUAGCAUAGCUACAUUAGAGAGGAGGAGGGAGAAUCAGUCUAGUAUAGCUACAUUAGAGAGGAGGAGGAGGGAGAACCAGUCUAUUAUAGAUACAUUAGAGAGGAGGAGGGAGGACCAUUGUAGUACAGCCACAUUAGAGAGGAGGAGGAGAGAGAACCAGUCUAGUGCAGCUACAUUAGAGAGGAGGGAGAUCCAUUCUAGUAUAGCUACAUUAGAGAGGAGGAGGAAGAACCAGUCUAGUAUAGAUACAUUAGAGAGGAGGAGGGAGAACCAGUCUAGUAAAGCUACAUUAAAGAGUAGGAGGAGGGAGAACCAGUCUAGCAUAGAUACAUUAGAGAGGAGGAGGAGGGAGAACCAGUCUAGUAGAUCUACAUUAGAGAGGAGGAGGUGGGAGAACCAGUCAAGCAUAUAUACAUUAGAGAGGAG
ensembl:lncRNA